AAAACUUUCAACAACGGAUCUCUUGGCUCUGGCAUCGAUGAAGAACGCAGCGAAAUGCGAUAAGUAAUGUGAAUUGCAGAAUUCAGUGAAUCAUCGAAUCUUUGAACGCACAUUGCGCCCGCCAGUAUUCUGGCGGGCAUGCCUGUCCGAGCGUCAUUUCAACCCUCAAGCCCCCGCGGGCUUGGUGUUGGGGGCCGGCCCCGCGCCGCCCCCGAAAUGCAGUGGCGACCUCGCCGCAGCCUCCCCUGCGUAGUAGCACAACCUCGCACCGGAGCGCGGAGACGGUCACGCCGUAAAACGCCCAACUUUUUACAGAGUUGACCUCGGAUCAGGUAGGAAUACCCGCUGAACUUAAGCAUAUCAAUAAGCGGAGGAAAAGAAACCAACAGGGAUUGCCCCAGUAACGGCGAGUGAAGCGGCAACAGCUCAAAUUUGAAAUCUGGCCCCCAGGGCCCGAGUUGUAAUUUGCAGAGGAUGCUUUUGGCGCGGUGCCUUCCGAGUUCCCUGGAACGGGACGCCAUAGAGGGUGAGAGCCCCGUCUGGUCGGACACCAAGCCAGUGUAAAGCUCCUUCGACGAGUCGAGUAGUUUGGGAAUGCUGCUCUAAAUGGGAGGUAUAUGUCUUCUAAAGCUAAAUACCGGCCAGAGACCGAUAGCGCACAAGUAGAGUGAUCGAAAGAUGAAAAGCACUUUGAAAAGAGGGUUAAACAGUACGUGAAAUUGUUGAAAGGGAAGCGUUUGUGACCAGACUUGGGCCCGGUGAAUCAUCCAGCGUUCUCGCUGGUGCACUUUGCCGGGCUCAGGCCAGCAUCAGUUCGCCGCGGGGGAUAAAAGCUUCGGGAACGUGGCUCCCUCGGGAGUGUUAUAGCCCGUUGCACAAUACCCUGCGGCGGACUGAGGUUCGCGCUCCGCAAGGAUGCUGGCGUAAUGGUCAUCAGCGACCCGUCUUGAAACACGGACCAAGGAGUCGUCUUCGUAUGCGAGUGUUCGGGUGUCAAACCCCUACGCGUAAUGAAAGUGAACGCAGGUGAGAGCUUCGGCGCAUCAUCGACCGAUCCUGAUGUUCUCGGAUGGAUUUGAGUAAGAGCAUACGGGGCCGGACCCGAAAGAAGGUGAACUAUGCCUGUAUAGGGUGAAGCCAGAGGAAACUCUGGUGGAGGCUCGCAGCGGUUCUGACGUGCAAAUCGAUCGUCAAAUAUGGGCAUGGG
rnacentral:rRNA from 1 species